GCGCGAAAACUCCGCAAUACGCGAAAGCGUGACGGGGGGAUCCCAAGUGUCGUGCCUUAGGGCAUGACUUUUGCAGAGUGUAAAAAGCUCUUCGAAUAAGAGCUGGGUAAGACCGGUGCCAGCCGCCGCGGUAACACCGGCAGCUCAAGUGGUGGCCACUAUUAUUGGGCCUAAAGCGUCCGUAGCCGGAUUGAUAAGUCCUUGGGAAAAUCCGCUCGUUCAACGAACGGGAACCUGAGGAUACUGUCAAACUAGGGAACGAGAGAAGUCAGAAGUACUCCUGGGGUAGCGGUGAAAUGUUGUAAUCCUGGGGGGACUACCAGUGGCGAAGGCGUCUGACUAGAGCGGGUCCGACGGUGAGGGACGAAAGCCAGGGGAGCGAACGGG
rnacentral:rRNA from 1 species